rnacentral:lncRNA from 1 species
CGGCGUGCUCCCCGACCCCCAUGACCCCUUCCUUGACCUAGGACCACAUCGCGCAACUUCUGGACAACUUCUCGAUGAGGCCCGCGACCACAAGCCCCUUCCUCAUGAGCCUGCACUCUGGCCCCCGCCUUCAGCAUCCAUGGCAUCGCUGCAGAGCACCCCCGGUCUCCCUUCCUGCUCCAGCACCCCCUAGGUGAGCCCCUGCUCCUUCGGAGCCUCUCUGUUCCUUCCCUCAUCUAUGUAGCUUACUUGCGUCGUGCGCUGCCCAUAGCCGCAGCGAGGGGAGGAGCUUGGCCAUGUAGGGAAACAUCCUCAAGAACGUGCGGCUCCAAAUGGGUGGG